rnacentral:rRNA from 1 species
CUACGGGCGGCAGCAGUGGGGAAUAUUGGACAAUGGGCGCAAGCCUGAUCCGGCAAUGCCGCGUGAGUGAAGACGGCCUUAGGGUUGUAAAACUCUUUCGCUAGGGAAGAUAAUGACUGUACCAAGUAAAGAAGUCCCGGCUAACUCCGUGCCAGCAGCCGCGGUAAUACGGAGGGGACUAGCGUUGUUCGGAAUUACUGGGCGUAAAGAGUUCGUAGGCGGACUGACAAGUUAGAGGUGAAAUCCCAGGGCUCAACCCUGGAACUGCCUUUAAAACUGUCAGUCUAGAGACCGGAAGAGGUUAGGGGAAUACCUAGUGUAGAGGUGAAAUUCGUAGAUAUUAGGUGGAACACCAGUGGCGAAGGCGCCUAACUGGUCCGGUACUGACGCUGAGGAACGAAAGCGUGGGGAGCAAACAGGAUUAGAUACACUGGUAGUC